AACCAUAGAUCCGAGUUAGGUACGCCGGACGGAAGGAAAUGAAUCUAACUUUCAUUAGAGGAAUUUUUGCUAUUGCUGCUUAACUUCUGUCCAUGUAGACUAACACGAUUGACGCUUGAGAGGCAGAGUCUCAAGGAGCUAAGCUCUGUAAUUGGUUCUAUUAUGGGUUUCCUUUGCGUUCCUUUUAUUAGGAGGGUCUACUUCUCCUCUGUUUUUCGUCCUCUUUCGGGGGGAGUGGGAAGCAGGGUACUGAGUCGUGGCCUAGUAUUGGAGACUUUGAACCUUUUGCAUCUUUGGCUGUUGCCAUUAAGUAUAUGGAUGAGACAGAAGCGGCCCCGUCAACGGAUCAUUAGAGUAAGUAGGACGCAUGGUCUUGAGUUCUCUGUUUGGCGAUUAGGAUUUGUUUUCUCUUUGCCUGCGGAUUGAGCUCGGCCAUCUCGUUGUCGUUCUACCGCAGUAUAUUCCUAAACGCUGUGUAGGCCUUUUGGGCCAGUUAUCACUUGGGUAAAACCAUACUGCAGACAUUU
rnacentral:snoRNA from 1 species